GGUUCGGGAUAGCGUCGGGAAACUGGCGGUAAUACCGAAUAAUAUCUUUGGAUCAAAGGUGAGAUUCCGCCCGAGGAUCAGACCGCGUACUAUUAGCUUGUUGGCGGGGUAAUGGCCCACCAAGGCGUAGAUGGAUACCGGGUGUGAGAGCAUGGCCCGGCUCACUGGGACUGAGACACUGCCCAGACACCUACGGGUGGCUGCAGUCGAGAAUCUUUGUCAAUGGACGAAAGUCUGAACAAGCGACGCCGCGUGCGGGAUGAAGGCCCUCGGGUUGUAAACCGCUGUCAGUUGGGAGGAAAGGCCUGUGAAGAGCAGGUCUUGACCGAUCUUCAGAGGAAGGACGGGCUAAGUUCGUGCCAGCAGCCGCGGUAAGACGAACCGUCCAAACGUUAUUCGGUAUCACUGGGCUUAAAGCGUAACGUAGGCGGCCUAGCAGGUGGGGUGUGAAAUCCCUCGGCUCAACCGAGGAACUUCGCUCCAAACCGUUAGGCUUGAGGGAGACAGGGGUGAUGGGAACUGUUGGUGGAGCGGUGAAAUGCGUUGAUAUCAACAGGAACACCGGUGGCGAA
rnacentral:rRNA from 1 species